AUGAGGAGGAGGGAGAGCAGAGGAGUGGAAAGGAAGGUGGAGGAGAGCAGAAGGCUCGAGGAAGAGGAGAAGGCGACAGACGGGGGGGAGGUGGAGGAGGCGGGAGGGAGUGAGGGGGCCGGCGGUGGUGGGGAGGAAGCAGGGAAAGGAAAGGAAGAGGAGGAAGAGGAGGAGGAGGAGGAGGAGGUCGUUGAAGAAAGUGGGCCGAUGGGAGAAGCGCGCGGUGCCUCCGGAGAGCGGCGAGCAGCGAGCCGGACCUCCGACACCGAGCGAGACGGCGUCGUGGAUGAUGACGACGACGUGGAUGAGUACAUGGACAUGAACGAGGCGAACCGUCGGCCGGAGGCGACGCAGCGCCACGACGACGAGGACGACGACCGCGUGUUCGAUGCUCCCGACAUCCUCCAUUCAACUGUGGUGGAAGAGGAGGACCAGGAGCUGUCCUGCUACGUUCAAGAUAACUUUGACUUCCUGGACCACAUGGACUGCAGCGCCCCCUACCAGGUGAGCGAGUUCUCCGUGGAGCCUCCGGGCCACUCGGACGACGAGUACGAAGUCAUGGAGCAGCCUCAGCUGGCCGAGCCGCGGCCGGACGCGCAACCCGCCGCCGCCGCGCCAACUACCCAGUCAAAUCCACACAGGCACCUCAGCAUCGACUCACAGGGCCGACACACUAAAUCGCUCAGCUUGCCGCACAUGGCGUCGCCCGUCUUCGGAUCGAACGAGUCCUGCUCCGAAGAGGAGGCCGCGGUGGAGGACAGCGAUGACAACGAUUACAGCAGCGAGGAGGACGAGAGCAUGUUUGUGAAAAGCCUCCCCUGCAGCUUCUUCACGCAGGGUUCGCCCUUUGACACUGACCCCGAUGAACGCGGCGGCGGCGCUCCUGAGCGCCGGUCGGGGAGCCCCGAGGAGGGAGAACGCCCGACUGUGGAAGCGGACUCUUCCGCAUGUGAGGAAUCAACCGCUGGAGACCAGGAGGAGAUAGAAGUAGAAGACGAAGGAGAUGAAGAGGGACUGAGAGGAAAGGAGCAAGCAGAGCAGGAAGAGGAAGAUACGCAGGAGAACCAAAGCCAAGCGACAGCAGAAGACGUCCUGGAGGACUCUCAAAGCGACGAAGAACAACCUCUCCCUCCACCCGACUUCCCGCCGCCCGGCGACGACCAAUCGGCCGCCGCGGCCCGCGUGGACGUCGAGGUCGAGGCGGACGCGUUUGACGACCAUCGCGGCGGUUGUCCGCCUUCCCGCGACGGCCCUGGCGCGACGCAGAGCGACGCUGUCGACGUUCCCUCAGAGGGGUCCAGGGACUCCGCCGUGGCGGCGACAGGACAGCCGGCGAAAGAGAGGGACGGGGGAGAGGACAGACAGGUGAACGAAGAGGCAGAGGACACGUGUCCCGAGACGUUGAUAGAGGUGAAAGUAAGUGGCGGUGACGCGUGGGAGGGAGGCGGGGGAGUGAUAGCUGAGCGGGGAGGUGACGAAGAGCCGCACGCCGCUAUUUGUGGUGAACUCGAGGACGCCGUCGCGUGCGAAGGGAUGAAGGUCGAGGAGAGCGAGCAGACGGACGGGGAGGGGGACACGAUGAAAGACGCCAGCGAUGGAGGAGAAGACGCGCCGGCAGCAAAGGGUCCGGGAGAGGAAAUGCUGGAAAGCGACAAAGAAGAGGCAAACGAGGCGGGAGGCAGCGCAGAGGUGGCGGAGGAAUCGUCGGCGGAGGCCGAGGAAAAGCUCGCGCAGCCCGAGACGCAUCCGCAGUUUGAGGAAAACGAGGCGAAGACAAGUGAAGGAGAAGGAGGGAAGCCUGCCGCCAGCGACAGAGCACAGCACCACCAGAGAGUGGAACUGGUUUUAAAAGAGAGAGAAAGACACGACGAGGAUAAAGACAGAGCCGAUAAACAACCACAAGAGGUCAGGGGGGAAGCGAGCGAAUCGAUGGAGGGCAGAAAGUGGGAGGAAAGUGGUCGAGGAGGAGGAGGCGUAGGGAGGAAACUGGUCAUCUCCAAACAUCCGAAGGUCUACCAGGCCAAAGCGGUGCCGGUCGUCCCGCCGAAGCCGCAGCACUGCAAGAUCACCGCCAUGUCCCUCCGACAGCAGCAGCAGCAGCAGCACGGAGAGACGAGAGGCGAAAACACGGCGAGGGUCGCGGCGGAGUGGGAGAAGGUCUGCGCGGGAGACGGCGAGGACGAGGGCAGGGGGAGGAAGGAGAGGCCGGCGCUCAGAGGAGGGGAGAAGGGUGAGAGGGGGGAGAGGGAGAGAGGGAGGGACGGGGAGGAGAGCGCCAGCAGAAACAGUCCCCUCAGCAUGUGCUUUGACGAGGCCGUUGCCAUAGCGACCAUGAGGCGGGAGAAGGAGAAGGAGUGCGGGAAGGAGAAGGAGAGGCAGAGGGGGAAUGAAGCGCAGUGAAGUUUUUUUUUUCUUUUCUUUAUUUGUAUAUUGAUUUCAAUUGUUUGUGACUGUACAAACUAUUUUUCGACACGUAGCAAAGGAGCUUUUGUACUUUCAGAAUAGGAUGCAGUGUUUUUCUGAAUGCUACUAAUGAUGUUAUGUAUUUUUUUAUUAGAUAAAGAACUGUAGAGCUGACAGGUGACGAGGGAAACGUAAUGGAUGAAAUGCAAAUCUCCAAUCGGAGAGCUAAUAAAGGAACGGACCUGAAGUUAGAUUGCCCUAAAACUGUAAAAGUCAAAGAGCUGCUGAAAGAUGUCGAUGUUACAUGUAAAACCCAGGAUUUUCACAGCUUCCACACUCUGGAUCCGUAAGACUUUAAACUUUAAAGUGAUGAGUCUUGAAUCCAGCUCAUUCCUGUGUGCAGUUGUCGUCCAAAUAUACCGUACUUAUAUAAUUAUGUAAUUAUAAAAAGUAUAUGUACCGUAUUCAGUAUAUGUAUGAAUAAAAAGCGGCAGGUAUAUUGUUUACCAUAUAGUUAUAUGGUUCAAUUUUGACGAUAAAUGAUGAAUAUUAUGCAAAAGUAAGUGUUAUUUUUUAGACAGGGGAAUAAAAAGAUGUUUCCAAAAUGUCUGUCAUUUUAUUUUUUAUAAAUAUUGUUUUUGUUUGUUUCAUUUCGUUUACAUACAAAUAUUAACAUACAAAACAUUAAUUCAUUCUCAGUUUUGUAAAUAGGUUAAAGAAUUUGCUGUCGUCAUUGAAUAUUAUACAUUUUUUUUCUUAACUGAGAUGGAUAUUUGUGCUGCGCGUGUAUUAAAAGAGUUACGCCCGCCGCCUGCUACGUCACAUCCGCCCUGAACUCUUUUCCCGGAAGUAAAACAAAAUAAAACAGCCUGGAAGGCUCUUCCAUUCGCCGCAGAAGCCCCAGCUGUUCAAUAAGGAUCAACAGCCGCUUCUGCUGCGUUUUCACUUCCACUCGGCGGGAUGUCGUUCGCCUCCUCGUUAACCGCGCAGAUCGCCGCCGUCGUGGAUUCGUUGUCGAAAGCCGCGGUGGCCGAAAUCUCUCAGCUGGUGGAGGAGGGCAGUCUGGUGCUGCGCCUGGAGAUGUGUCGGAAGGACGCUGAGAUUCAGGAGCUCCGAAGAAGUUUGAAGCGGAUGGAAGUUGACCUCUGCAACGCUGAGGAAGCGGCCACGACCCGAAGGACUGCGGAGGACUUCGUGCGAGGAG
ensembl:lncRNA